CGCCAUUGCACUCCAGCCUGGGUGACAGAGUGAGACUCCGUCUCAAAAUAAAUAAACAAACAAACAAAUAAACUCCCAGUAUCCUCAUCUGUAAAAUGGAGACGACAGAACCUAUUGCCUAAGUUAUUGUGGGGAUUAUAUGAGUUAGUGCACAAAAGGGUGGCACAUAGAUUUGUAAUGGCAUGGGGGUAAUAACAGAUAUGAAGUUGCUUGCAUGAAAAGCAACUGGUAUAUAGUAAGCACUCAUAAAUGGCAGCUGCUAUGUUAUAGUAAAGGGCAUCAUUAAGAUAAUUUUAAAAGAGCUUGAAAUUAAAUUUAAAGGUGAAAUGGGGGUUUAAAAUAAGAAUUGCCCACCCAAAUUUGGAAACUAUUUCCUGUUUUUUAAAAGCAGGAAACAGGAUUCCUUCACCUCACCCCCUUCUUCUCCUAAAUAAAACAUGUAAGUGUUUUCCAUUUUAACGUUCAUUAUCGUGGUGACUAAAUGACCUGUUUGCAUCUGCUUGGGUGUUAUUUGUUUGUUUGUUUGUUUUUUGAGAUGGAGUCUCGCUCUGAUACCCAGGCUGGAGUGCAAUGG
rnacentral:lncRNA from 10 species